GUCAAGUGAAUAAGUGCAUCAGGCGGAUGCCUUGGCGAUGAUAGGCGACGAAGGACGUGUAAGCCUGCGAAAAGCGCGGGGGAGCUGGCAAUAAAGCUAUGAUUCCGCGAUGUCCGAAUGGGGAAACCCACUGCAUUCUGUGCAGUAUCCUAAGUUGAAUACAUAGGCUUAGAGAAGCGAACCCGGAGAACUGAACCAUCUAAGUACCCGGAGGAAAAGAAAUCAACCGAGAUUCCGCAAGUAGUGGCGAGCGAACGCGGAGGAGCCUGUACGUAAUAACUGUCGAGAUAGGAGAACAAGCUGGGAAGCUUGACCAUAGCGGGUGACAGUCCCGUAUUCGAAAUCUCAACAGCGGUACUAAGCGUACGAAAAGUAGGGCGGGACACGUGAAAUCCUGUCUGAAUAUGGGGGGACCAUCCUCCAAGGCUAAAUACUCAUCAUCGACCGAUAGUGAACCAGUACCGUGAGGGAAAGGCGAAAAGAACCCCGGGAGGGGAGUGAAACAGAACCUGAAACCUGAUGCAUACAAACAGUGGGAGCGCCCUAGUGGUGUGACUGCGUACCUUUUGUAUAAUGGGUCAACGACUUACAUUCAGUAGCGAGCUUAACCGGAUAGGGGAGGCGUAGGGAAACCGAGUCUUAAUAGGGCGAUGAGUUGCUGGGUGUAGACCCGAAACCGAGUGAUCUAUCCAUGGUCAGGUUGAAGGUGCCGUAACAGGUACUGGAGGACCGAACCCACGCAUGUUGCAAAAUGCGGGGAUGAGCUGUGGGUAGGGGUGAAAGGCUAAACAAACUCGGAGAUAGCUGGUUCUCCCCGAAAACUAUUUAGGUAGUGCCUCGAGCAAGACACUGAUGGGGGUAAAGCACUGUUAUGGCUAGGGGGUUAUUGCAACUUACCAACCCAUGGCAAACUCAGAAUACCAUCAAGUGGUUCCUCGGGAGACAGACAGCGGGUGCUAACGUCCGUUGUCAAGAGGGAAACAACCCAGACCGCCGGCUAAGGUCCCAAAUGAUAGAUUAAGUGGUAAACGAAGUGGGAAGGCACAGACAGCCAGGAUGUUGGCUUAGAAGCAGCCAUCAUUUAAAGAAAGCGUAAUAGCUCACUGGUCGAGUCGUCCUGCGCGGAAGAUGUAACGGGGCUCAAAUCUAUAACCGAAGCUGCGGAUGCCGGUUUACCGGCAUGGUAGGGGAGCGUUCUGUAGGCUGAUGAAGGUGCAUUGUAAAGUGUGCUGGAGGUAUCAGAAGUGCGAAUGUUGACAUGAGUAGCGAUAAAGCGGGUGAAAAGCCCGCUCGCCGAAAGCCCAAGGUUUCCUACGCAACGUUCAUCGGCGUAGGGUAAGUCGGCCCCUAAGGCGAGGCAGAAAUGCGUAGUCGAUGGGAAACAGGUUAAUAUUCCUGUACUUGAUUCAAAUGCGAUGUGGGGACGGAGAAGGUUAGGUUGGCAAGCUGUUGGAAUAGCUUGUUUAAGCCGGUAGGUGGAAGACUUAGGCAAAUCCGGGUUUUCUUAACACCGAGAAGUGAUGACGAGUGUCUACGGACACGAAGCAACCGAUACCACGCUUCCAGGAAAAGCCACUAAGCUUCAGUUUGAAUCGAACCGUACCGCAAACCGACACAGGUGGGCAGGAUGAGAAUUCUAAGGCGCUUGAGAGAACUCGGGAGAAGGAACUCGGCAAAUUGAUACCGUAACUUCGGGAGAAGGUAUGCCCUCUAAGGUUAAGGACUUGCUCCGUAAGCCCCGGAGGGUCGCAGAGAAUAGGUGGCUGCGACUGUUUAUUAAAAACACAGCACUCUGCCAACACGAAAGUGGACGUAUAGGGUGUGACGCCUGCCCGGUGCCGGAAGGUUAAUUGAAGAUGUGCAAGCAUCGGAUCGAAGCCCCGGUAAACGGCGGCCGUAACUAUAACGGUCCUAAGGUAGCGAAAUUCCUUGUCGGGUAAGUUCCGACCCGCACGAAUGGCGUAACGAUGGCCACACUGUCUCCUCCCGAGACUCAGCGAAGUUGAAGUGGUUGUGAAGAUGCAAUCUACCCGCUGCUAGACGGAAAGACCCCGUGAACCUUUACUGUAGCUUUGCAUUGGACUUUGAAGUCACUUGUGUAGGAUAGGUGGGAGGCUUGGAAGCAGAGACGCCAGUCUCUGUGGAGUCGUCCUUGAAAUACCACCCUGGUGUCUUUGAGGUUCUAACCCAGACCCGUCAUCCGGGUCGGGGACCGUGCAUGGUAGGCAGUUUGACUGGGGCGGUCUCCUCCCAAAGCGUAACGGAGGAGUUCGAAGGUUACCUAGGUCCGGUCGGAAAUCGGACUGAUAGUGCAAUGGCAAAAGGUAGCUUAACUGCGAGACCGACAAGUCGGGCAGGUGCGAAAGCAGGACAUAGUGAUCCGGUGGUUCUGUAUGGAAGGGCCAUCGCUCAACGGAUAAAAGGUACUCCGGGGAUAACAGGCUGAUUCCGCCCAAGAGUUCAUAUCGACGGCGGAGUUUGGCACCUCGAUGUCGGCUCAUCACAUCCUGGGGCUGUAGUCGGUCCCAAGGGUAUGGCUGUUCGCCAUUUAAAGUGGUACGUGAGCUGGGUUUAAAACGUCGUGAGACAGUUUGGUCCCUAUCUGCAGUGGGCGUUGGAAGUUUGACGGGGGCUGCUCCUAGUACGAGAGGACCGGAGUGGACGAACCUCUGGUGUACCGGUUGUAACGCCAGUUGCAUAGCCGGGUAGCUAAGUUCGGAAGAGAUAAGCGCUGAAAGCAUCUAAGCA
rnacentral:rRNA from 1 species